CCUACGGGGGGCAGCAGUGAGGAAUAUUGGUCAAUGGACGAGAGUCUGAACCAGCCAAGUAGCGUGAAGGAUGACUGCCCUAUGGGUUGUAAACUUCUUUUAUAUGGGAAUAAAACGUUCCACGUGUGGGAUUUUGUAUGUACCAUAUGAAUAAGGAUCGGCUAACUCCGUGCCAGCAGCCGCGGUAAUACGGAGGAUCCGAGCGUUAUCCGGAUUUAUUGGGUUUAAAGGGAGCGUAGGUGGAUUGUUAAGUCAGUUGUGAAAGUUUGCGGAUCAACCGUAAAAUUGCAGUUGAAACUGGCAGUCUUGAGUACAGUAGAGGUGGGCGGAAUUCGUGGUGUAGCGGUGAAAUGCUUAGAUAUCACGAAGAACUCCGAUUGCGAAGGCAGUUCACUGGACUGCAACUGACACUGAGGCUCGAAAGUGUGGGUAUCAAACAGGAUUAGAUACCCCAGUAGUC
rnacentral:rRNA from 1 species